AAAAAUAUGGUAAAAGGAAUUGGGAUGCACUCCGAUGCGACACCGUUAUAGCUCUCUAACUAGACUGCCCGGAAAAUCCCUCAGGCGUUGCGGAUGCGUAUGAAACCAGCUCAUUUUAGCACGGUUUCCAGGAUCCUCAGUCGAUCAUCCAGAAGAAAGAAAACCCUAAUUUCGAAGAGUUCCUAGUAAUCGGUAUUUUUAGUAUCGUGAAUUCAUAUUUUAGAAUGCUUCUCCGUUUCGUAUCUAUAUAUAUAUCCAGUCCUUUCACCAGAUAAUGUGUCAAACAUCCCUAUAAUAGGGUUAGGUUUUUGUCCAAAAGUGACAAAAACCAAUAGAGUUGAUGUGAUCGUAGAUUUACAUUUGAAGGAUUAUUCUGAGAGUAUUGAGUUGCUGCCAUCUUUCGAACGCAGACUCUUUUUCGUUUGAUGAUCUUGUUGAGAUGAGAUAUGUGUUAUGAAGGAUUAUGGUGUUAGAAGAGUCUAGGGCUAAUUGUUUCACCACAAAUUUUGAAGGGUUUAAGCAUAUUUGAACUCUAUGCUUUCGGAAAAUGGUGAACUUCCAAUAUAAGAAUCAGACUAUAGUUUUACGUAAUCGAAGCUCAUCAUUGCCAAGCUUCCAUCCUGGUUUGAAGCAGUUACUCAUGUGGGUGACUAAAAUAUAUAACGAAGAUGUAACAGAAGAAAAAGUUGGAUUUUGUCCUAAAGCAAGGUGCCCAUAUCUUCUAAACAAAGAGCAAAGCAGCAAAGUACUGUAGAGGGGUCAAUUUUUUAUGUGGCAAAUGUCUACACUACCGAUUGAUGUCCAUGGGUGGGAACGUGGGAUCGAUUUUUUCGUGAAACAUGCUUUGGUGUUAAGCUUUGCUUUACAUGUUCCGAUUGGAGGUUACCAAUUACUACAUGAAUGCAAGAGCCAAAAGGAAGGAAGAUGAAUCUAGAUGGCCAAUUGGGCUUGCUUUGAAUGAAUUGAUUUAUGGUUACCUAUCUGAUGAGCUAGAAGUGCUGCUAGUGAAGAAGCUGCAGAGUGACGGCAGAGUCGGCCUGAUUUCUCCAUUUGCAAUUUGCCGUCAUCUCGCUUCACCUCAUCUUGCCGUCCUGAAUUGCUGCCGAAUUUAGCAAAGGUUGAGGUCCUCUCGUUAUGGAGUCACUUAUGACCCAUUGGUUGGAACUCCUGAAAGUUUCAGUGUCAAGCGACCUCCAGAUGAAAUUGCGGAUGAUAUCUUGCUAAGGCUACCGGUUAGGUCCAUCAUUCAAUUUAAAAGCGUGUGCAAACCAUGGUACAGUUUAUUCAGUAACCCAAAAUUUAUUAAGGCGCACUUGUAUCGAGCUAUCAUGAACAAUUCUGGUUAUUUUAUCUUAAAACAUCCUUUCAUCUCUGAGGAAGAAAUGAAUUUCUAUGGAAUUCAGGUAAGAUCUGGUUUGGAAAUCUUUACUAUUGCAAGUUAUGAGGACGUAAGGAAAUAAAUUUACUCUUUUCGAAGUAAUGAAACUUUUAAUGAGUUUGAGGAUGUAAAACUGCCAGUUCAAACUAAUUCAGGUUAUUUUCAAGUAGUGGAAUCUAGUCAUGGAUUAAUCUGUCUCACAGAAUCAGAUGCUUCUGGCUCAUGUCUUCUCUUGAACUCUGUGGAACCUUGCCAUCCAUGAAAUAAGAAUCCUUCCGGAUGGUUACUUCAAAAAAUAUGGCGGUCCAUUAAGGGUGGUUGGUCUUGGAUUUGCAUUUCACUCUAAGAUUAAUGACUACAGAGUGGUAAGAAUUUUCUGUUCUGGGGAGAGCGAGACAUUGGAUGUUGAGGUGUACUCUCUAAGUACAGAUUCUUGGAGAAGAGUUGAAACCAAUAUUCGGUGCAGCUUGGUCAUUAGUUUGUCACUGGCAUUUGUGAAUGGAGCUUUGCAUUGGAUGGCUUCUUAGACGGAUGUGAAUUGUGGUUAUCAUGAUUUUAUCUGGUCAUUUGAUAUUGGUUCAGAUAAGUUUGACAAGAUAAUGCUGCCAAAGUUUCACUAUGUUGACUAUUUUAAGCGCAAAUUUCUUGCAAGGUUCAGGGAAUCUCUAGCUCUGUUUGUUUAUGACUGUCGUUUGAAUGACAAUUGUUUAGCGUAUUGUGAUGUAUGGAUUAUGAAGGAGUAUGAUUGUAGAGUCAUGGGCUAAACAAUUUAUAAUUAAACAAAGGAAUAAAGUCGUGAGACCAAUACAAUUUAUUGAUGAUGGUGAACUUAUAAUGGAGAGGGACAAUGGGCAAUUGGUUUUGUAUGACGUGGAAGUUGCGAAAGAUAGGAAUCUUCGUGUUUUUGGGCCAGUUCUUAUUGUUAAAUACAUGGAGACCUUGGUUUCACCAAUGGGAGGAAACAUAUAGUAAUUGGCAUCUCAACUAAAAUGGGGCAUUUGCAACUACUUAGGAGAGGAAAUCGAUAGAAGUAAAUCAAAGGAGAGAGAGUGAAUUUAGUUGGAGAUGUGACAUGUAGUCUUAUCUUACUUUUGUUUAUGGUAUUUUCAUGGAUGCUUUUCUUUUCUUUUUCUUUUUCUUUUUUUUGUUCUCGAAGGAACAAUGUGCUUUAUCAUUAAUACCUUUAAUUUAGUUCUUAUAUGCUAUUAGCUUUAGAAAUAUCCUUAAGGAGAUUAAGGGCAUAUUACUAGUUGUAGCAUGAUUUGCAGUUGUCGGACUUAAAAAAACAUCUUUAAAACUAAUGUUGUAAACGUAAUUGUGCAAAUUUUACAAUACAUACAAAUGUUUGAUAAGUAGGGCAACUAAGAUUACUGGUAAAAUCGCAUCUGGGCUAUUUCUUAUCAUAAACAUAGAGCAGACAGUAUGAUAUGUGUAAUACGCAUUACGUGCUUUGAAUUUACAGUUUAAUUAUUUGUAAUGUUUUAGAAAAAUCUAUAUUAAGCCUUUUAUUAUAUAACUCUUCUUUUAUAGGUACUUAGAAUAGGAUUUUUGGAGUCUCUCUUCUGCUUUCUUUUGCCUCCUUUAUGAAAAAUAAUUCAUUUCCAAGAUGCCCAGAAUCUCAUAUUUCUGUCCACCUCGUCUAUACAAGAGGGAAUUGAUUCUUAUAUAUUUUCCCUUACGAAAAUUUUAAGGCGUGCAGAAAAUUUAUUAUUGGAAAUGAAACUUUUAAGGGCCCGUUUACUUACGCUUUCACUUUCUUACUUUUACUUUCUCCAAAAGUAAAAACAUAAUUUUCAUUCCUUGCACUGAAAUAGAAAGUAAAAUGAUGUUUAAUAAGAAGAUUUUAUUUUUAAUAUUUUGAAAGCAAAAAACAAUAAGUAACUUUAAUAAUUUUGAUUAUAAUUUUGUUUUUCCUAUUAACUCUCUCUCUAAAUUCUUUUUAUCUUUCUCUCUCUAAUAUAUAUAUAUUUUUAUCUGGGUUUGAUGAGGAUGGAUACAGAGUAUGUAUGGGUGUGUGUGUGUGUAUAUAUAUAUAUAUAUAAAAGAGAGGAGGAGUAGUGAUAAGCUUGGUCACUGGUCUACAUCACGAAGACCCCCCAGUUGAUGAACCUCAGUUACAGAAGACCCAAUUGACGGAUGAACGUUAGUUACAGCUCCGGCAAAAACAAUUUAGUUGAGAAGCUAUCUCUAAGCUAACAAGAUCAAAUCAGCCUUCAACGAUGGGUUUUUCAAUUCAGCGAUAAAUUGCUUAUUGGGUCUCAGAGAGUUUGUCUGGAAUUCGUUGAGAAAGGACGUGAAAACAACUUGCCGCCGAUGAUGGAGAGUCGACUUCGUCUUCCCCGAUUCGCCUUUAUGUGAUUGGUUCAAGUUGAUUCGGGUAUAUUAUUGAUGGGUUUUGAUGUGUAUGGGAGAGGAGAGAGAUGGUUGUGGCAAUGGGUAUGGUGGGGAGGAGGUGGGUGGAGGUGAUGGUGAUACCUAAUUUUGGUGUUGGUGGCCAUGGUGUGGAGGAGGUAUCGGCGAUGUGUGAUUUCUGAAUUUUGAGUUUUUUUUUAUUUAUUAAAAUAAAAAGUGCUACAGUAUGAAAGUAAUUCCUAGGAAUAGUACAGAAAGUAGAGAAAGUAACAAAUCCUCACUUUCUCUUUCCUUCAUUAAAUGUGAAAGUACUUUCUAAAAUAUAAAAAGUAAAAUUAUAUUAAUAAACAUAAUUUUUACUUUUACUUCUUAUUUUUAAGAAUUGACAGUAGAAAUCAGGAAUCAUUCCUGUUACUAAAUAGGCCCUAAAAGUUUUAGAAUUUGUACUUGGAACCUAGGUAUGAAUUGACACAUUAGAAUAAAUAUUUCAAACAAUUGUUUAACACUGUUAUUUAUUUGUUUGUUUUGAUGAAUAAAUGAGGAGCAUUUAUAACUUAUGUAGGUAUAUAAAGUUUCUGGUUUCGCUUUAUGUAUAGCUGCAAUGGAAUAAAAUGUUGUAUUAUGAAGAAUGUUACAUUGUAAGCAAUGAACAUGCGGCACUUAAUUUUUCAUGUAUUUAAUAUUUUACUGUUAUGGAUUUUAGUCCCCAAAUAUUGGAUUUUUUUGCAUGUAUGUUUCUAUAUCUUUCAAUAUAUGGCUUUUUUGUUUUUUUAUUUUAUUUAUAAAUUAUUAUUAUUUUUCAAUGAUAUUGUAUCUUAGAUCCCAAUGUAAUAUAUACGGAUUUCUUAACAUACAGAAUUGGUAAUUAAUUUGACAUGAAUAAGUAGAAUCAUGAUUACCCAUUUUUUUUUGUACACUGUAGUUUUCCCAAUUGUGUUCAGGUUUUUGGCUACUCAUGUGGUGUUAGGUCAUGCAUGCAACAAUUAUUUGCAAAUGCUAUUCCUUUUCUUUUGUUUGUAGAGGUCAAUUACUUUUGAGAUGUUCAGGAUAAAGGCAAAAAUCUUCUUUUUGUCCUUGAAGCCCAUAGGUUUUUCACAAGAUUGUAGUUGUGAGAUCUUACAUUCAUGUACGGUCUUUGUUUUGGAUUGGUAGUCUGCUAGGUAUCACAUAUAUUGACAUGCCACGAUUUGGAUACGUUGAUAUAAUAAAUACUAAAAGAGCAUCAUGACACGGAUGCAUCAAAGACAUUUUGUUUAAUUUGUAUUUUGUGUUGGACAAUUAUAUAAUCUUGAUUCAUUUCUUCAUAUUUGUGUACUAUAAAAAUGACUUGAAAGAUAAAGCUCAACAAAUAUCUUUUUCACAUAGAUUAAUUUUAUCGUAUACCUUACUAUACUCCCUUAUUAUAUCUCCCUUUUACAACUAUAUUCUUUUUCUCUUCUGCUUUGAUAUCAAAGAAAAGGAGCUAAAAACCAAAUUUCUUGAUAAAACUGGAGUAAAUCUGCGAUUAUUUCUAUCCUUCCAUUUAAGUUGAGUGAUGAAGGUAUCAUUAGUUUGCGAUCAUCCUCCAGGAUGUGAAAGAAAUGUUAUACAUCUUAGUAAGGAAGGGUGACUAACUUUAAGUUUUUCCAGAGAGCAAGAGCAAGUAUACUGUGGAACAUGAUCCAUAUGAGGAGUAUUACUUCACUGAUCCUGAGCUUUUUCAAGCUAUGCCAUACUACCAUAUUUUUUCAGAGACGACUUCUUCUCGGUCAGAGAGAAUUGCUGAGGUAGCUUGAGUCACAUUCCACACAUCAUUCAUUCCUAUGCCAAGCCUGGGGUUAGAGAGAGAUUUUAGUACUUUCUUUUAAUUUUAGCAGUAUGAUUAUCUAAUAGUUAAUUCUAUAUAUGGUAUUUAUCUGUUGGCAGUAUCUGUUUUUGAGUAUUUAGUAACUUGGGCUUGCUUGUAAAUAGGCCUUUUGUAAUAGGAUACCUGCUCCCCCCUUCUUUUAGGACUGAAUAAUAAUUGUAGAUCUUCCUCCCUAAAUUUCAGCUAUCUCUUUCAUCUUCUAUAUUCUCUUCCUCCACCUCCUCUCUCUCUCUAUCUCUUCCCUUUCUCCGCUUCUACAUGUAUUUGGUAUCACAGGUCACUUUUGCGUCUUCUGUAUGCAAGUAUCCAACUCGUUUCUAGGGGUCUUAUGUGAAGGAGUCGUCUUGUACGCAGCACAUUGUCAGACAGUGACGCAACAACUCCUUUGAAGUGUUGGCGCUUCAUAGUUAGUUACGAGGUAUUGACAAAUCUCAAAUUUGGUGCUUCAGAGUUAGUUACAAGGUAUUGAAAAAUCUCUAUAUAUAUAUUUUUUAAUAAAUGCGUUGUGUUUGAAACAAGAACACCUUCAUGUUGCUGAAAUGAGAAUGUUGAGAUGGAUGAUAGGAGUGACUAGAAGAGAUAAGAUUAAUAGAAUCAACAUGUGUUGGAGAAAUUAGGUGUCGCUGCUAUUAGUGAUAAAGUAAGAGAAAGCAAUCUUAGGUUGUAUGGACACGUUCAUGUGGACUUGCAAAUGCACCUGUGAGAAAAGGAAGAUUAGUUUGUAUGGAUGGUAAGAGAUAGGGGCCAACCAAAACUAACAAGGGAUUAAUGAAUUGGAAAUGACUUCAGAAAAUAAAUACAACAGGUGAAAUGACUUGUAAUAGAAAAGAAUGAAAAAAAAAAAAAAAAUCAUAUGUCCGACCCCAUUUGUAUGAGAUAAAGACAAGGAUAGUGAUGAUGAUAAAUGUGUUGUAUUUAUUGGCCGCUUGCCACUAUGGUAUCAUGCACCAUCUUAUGCGAAAGAUUAAUCUAGAAAAGAGUGCAUCUCCAAAAUUGGAGAGGAUCCAAGUAGACUUGCUGGAUGUUCUCCUGUUCUGAUAAUGAACAUAAAUCUGUCAUGUCACAUGUGCAUUGACAUGGUCUGUUGGUUUCUGAUGAUGAACACAAGUCAGUUAUGUCAUAUGUGCAUUUACAUAGUCUAUUGUUGCUGUUGGUGUUUGCUUUUUUUUUUUUCCUCCCUGAAUUUAGCGCUUAUUGUUUUCCUGAGAAGCAGCUUGAGGUAGCAGCACAUAUUCAUCUUAAAGUUUGUUAGCAGUAUAUUUUGCUACUUGAGUAGGCUAUUAUGACUCAUGAGCAUGUUAUAAUUAAGAAAGGAGAAAGGAGAUGCAGGAUGCUUUUGCUAAAUGCAGACUCUCUACUUUUAUUUAUUUAUUCCUAUACUAUCAGAUUAGUGGUUUAGUUUGUGUGCUUGCAUAAGCAUUAUAAAUUCCUUAUUGUCAUAUCAUUGCCUAUAGUUGUAUCGCCUCAUGUUACACGGACUCUUCAAAAGUAGGUGAAGUAACCAUAUCAGCCACACAAAACUCUAGACAUGGGUAUGGAUAUGUGUAUGACACUUCUAGUGUGACGUGCACCUAAAAAAUGUAUCCAAUAAUUCAAUUUUAUUAUAUUAUUACUUCAAGCUAUUGCAACAACAUUAUUGUACCCCAGAAAAUAAAAUAUUAAAUUGUAUAAUUUGAAUAUUAGUAGUUUCCAUGUGUCCUGUUUGGGGAUUUGACACGUCCCAUGCUUAGAUACAUACCUGCACCCAGCAUGUAUUGGAGUCCAUGUACAAUAGCCUACUUUCUCUUGAGACUUAUUUUGAGGUGGUAACCCUACUUCCUCUUUCCAGCAGACAGUGACAGGAGUUUGAGCUCCUUUAAAAAUUGGAACAGUCAAGCUCCUUAGGAGACUAACCAUCAAAGCCCAGGUCGAGGUGUCAACGCCGCUAGACUUUAUUUAUGUUCUCCCCUAGAGGGUGUUACCCAGGCUUCCUUAAUUUGCUUCUGUGAUGCAGGAUAGAUAGAAGUAGAAGUGAGAUAGAGAAGAGAAGAGAAGAGAUGAGAGCAAGACUAGAGACAGAUAGAGAGAAGAGGGGAAGAGAUCAGGGGAAGGAAAACUGAACUCAACAAUAUUUUGUCUCAAAUCAAGUCUGAAUAUAUGAGUUACAUAUAUGCCUAUUUAUAGGCAUCAAAAAGUUUUCCUUAGCCACUAAGGAAAUACAAAAGUAUCUUGGAGAGUCCUUCUUGCCUAAGCAAACAAAUAAAAUAUCAAUCAAAACAGCAGCAUAUCAAAUAUCGGUCAAAACAGUCCAAAAGUGCAGCCUCAUCUGGACGCAGAUUAACAGUCAAAAACAGUCAAAAGGCAGCUUAAGCUAGCCGCCUACACCUAGUGUAGCCGCCUAUGCCUACUGUAGGUCUUUAGGCUGCUAGACCCUUGGCCUAGUGUAGGUCUUUAGGCUGCUAGCCUUAGGGUCUUCAUCACUCUGCCAGUUCAAUAAGUUAUCACAGACAAUUAAGAGCCCUAUAAUUUGGAAUUAGAGAUGCUCGUAUAAGUUUUGAUAUUGUUAUUCCUUUCAUGGGGAUUCAUGUAAGUGUGCAUUUUUUAGGCUGAGUUGAUGGCAAGAAUAACACAUUGCGCUUGCAAGUUUGGAAGUAUGAAACUGAAACAAUGCAAUUUAAUUCAUGGAAUCUCCAGAACCGAAGUAUUCAGAAGGGAGAUGCAGGAUGGGGAAUGAAAUUAGGCUGCUGGUCAAAAUAGUAAACUGAAAUAGGUUGCUUCACAGUUCACUGAUUACAAAGUCACCAACCUUGGUGUUCCACCUCUGUAAUUGAGCGAUUAAAGAAGGAAGAGUCACGGUACUGAUGUUCAUUAGCUUGUUUGGGUGUGUUACCUUAUCACAACAGCAAUUAGUUUCUUUUUUGGUAUAUGAGCCAAUUAUUGUUGCUGGGACACCUGGGCAGGGUGCAGAUAUUCAUGGUGCAGGGGUAGUCUUUGAGGUCAAUCGUUCUGACCAUGCACAGUAUAAAAUGAAGAGUUUUGGUUGGAAGCGAAGUGCAUAUAAGCCUGCUAACCUAGCAUGGGAGAAUCAAAUUAUCUUGGUAUAUGUAUUGUGACAUCUUGAUACUAGGGGCAAUUAGGAGUUUGUCCCAGGAUCUGUCCAAGCAGAAAUUGUCACCAUGACCGGAAGUUUCCCUACUUCUAUACUUGGAGUUUUGGUAAUUUGUAAGACUCUUGUGUAUUUAGAAAACUGUAGGAGUUUGGUGCUGAUUCUAUGUUAAUCUUGAAAAAUUAAUUCAACAACUAAAGGAUGCUUUUUCUCAAGUCAGAAAUUCAUAGGAUGAAAGCUGAUGAGCUGAAUGGGAAUCUUGGCUAGCCAGACUUACCAACAAAUCUAAAAAAGUGCUAGAAGACCAAGCUUAUUGUGCUGUUGAUGAUAACGCUGGGUGGUGCUGUCGCAGAUUUUUUUCUCACUGUUAAUUCAGACUUAUGCAAUUACUUCACCAUGUGCAUUGGGCAAGCCAACUGGCUUUGUUCUGAGUGAAUUAAUUUAUGGUGUUACCAUAUCUGAUGCGCUAGGGCUGCUGUUUGUGGAGAAUCUGCAGAGUCAGCCUAAUUGCUCGAUUUGCAAUUGAGUGUACAGAGGGCAAACUCGUUUUCUCUAAGCUGUCCUUUUCAGCUUGUGAAAAGAUAAAUGUGGAGGGAAUCAGAGUUUAGCUCUUCAACAAUCUUCUUUAUUAAGGAAGGCAUAAUGAUAGGACCUCAAAAGAUUAAUAUUACUGGCUGCCACUUAAUAGCGGGAGGCUAUUGCUGGCUUCUACACGCAAAGGCUAAGAUGGCGGUGAAGCAGAAGAUGAUUGAAGUUUUCCAUUUCAGCAAGUGACUUCCAAGGUUUGCAGUUAGCAUGGAGUCAUUGAAGGAUGUGAGGCAAUGUCCGGCAUCUUGCCAAAGCAAGGGUAAAUGGUGGAAGGGCAUGCAAAACGCACAAUGUUCUUUCUUGACACUAUUUCUACAUUUGUCAACUGAGUUGCAGAAGAGGAUACCACAAAACACUGGACUUAGUAUUCUCUAAUACAUUUUGAUUCUGUUUCUGCCUCUCACCCCCAAACCCUUCUUAUGAAAAAAAUUAUAUUUUUUACUAGUUUGAAUUUGGCAGGGACGAUGAUGAUAUCGUUGGAUCUUGUGAGGCAUCGCCCACUUAGUGAUUAUCUAGGUACUCUGCAAGUCUUGUGUAGCAAGUUCGCGUCAACUGAUUUGGCUGAAGGAUGCACUCAGGGGGAACUUCAAACGAUGGCAUUAAGAGCCAGAUAUGAAACUUUAAACCAGUGACUUUCUUGCUGUGUCACGGCUAGUAACAAGAAGAAACUAAUCGGAGUAAAGAAGCCAACCGAGUCAACCGACCCAACUGGAAUUCAAUUGAUGGACUGAAAACCUCUAGUCAUGUAUGUAUAUCUGUACUUUCUACUACAUGAGAUCAUUGGUACAAACAUUAACAUGGAUCAUCUGCUAAACAUAUGCUAUUCUUUGUUACUACAUGUAUGAGCUUGAUUCAUAGAGAAAAAACCAUCCUCGUUUAUGCUUUGCAGAACCUCUAAAGGAACACAUGAUCCUUAGCCAACACUGGUUA